UAACUUCAGCCUGUUCCCCUUUCACCUUCUCCUCGCCGCAGCUGCAACCACAUUUCGCGUUCCCCUUUCAUUCUCCCUCCUCAUUCACUAAUGACUCAUGGUGGUCAUGAGAGAUAACGACUGUGUGGUUUGAUUUCUAGGAUUUUUUUUGGUGUUCAUGGUAUGAGCUUCUUUAAACUUUCCCCUUUAAAUUUCAAAUUUAAGGUUUCUUUGCAUAAUUACUAGUUCAAAUCUUUGAUUUUUUUUCGAUUUCUAGGGUUUCGAUUUGUAACUGUUGGUGGUGGUGGAGAGCAGCGAUGGGAAGACUCAGCUUAUCAAUCAUUUUCUAAUCAACAAGAGUUGGUAUAUUGUUAAUUUGCCUGGAUAUGGGUGAGUCUCUGUAAUUUUGGUUUUAAUUUGGGCAAUUUCUGUAAUUCUUGAGUCUAUUUCAUGCUGGGAAUAUUGUAUACUUGUAUUGUGAAUCAAUUGUUAUUCGUGUUUAUUCCUGAUCAUAUGCUUGAAUCAUAUUGAAGUGCCAAAAAAGGAUUGCUUUUACGCCUUGAGGCAUUGCUUCAAAAUUAUUGAUCAUCCUGUAAAACAUGUUGCGGACUGAUAUGUAUUUAGGCUACAUCCGUUGUAGUUAAUUUGGUCUCCAAUCGUGUUGUUUAUUUUCAAGUUUAGGAAGUAAAUGUCUCCUUACAUGU